GAACUCUUUAAAGAUUUGUUCACUUUUUAAUAUUUACUAGUUUUUCAUGAUAGGAUGGUAUCCGUUUGUGGGGGUUCAUUGGCUUUGCAAGAUGCUGAAGUUUCAAUUAAGUGUCCAAUUGCUGGCCUAGCAAUGGGAUUGGUUCUUGGUACAAAGAAUUUGGGGAGAUGGAACUCCACUUAUUCUGUUUGACAUAACAGAAUCUGAGGAUGCUUCCAGAGAUAUGGAAUUUAAGUUAGCUAGUAACAAAAUGGGCAUAACAGCAUUUCAGAUGGACAUAAAGGUGGGAGGCAUUACUAUACUCAUUAUGAGAGGUGCUCCUGCAAGCAAAGUUUAGGCGUAAGUAUAUUCUUUGUUAAUAAACCCUCUUCGGUACUUCCUUUUAGAACUUGUUUAUGAUUGGGAAUUUGUUUAUGAGGAAGAAAUCUAAUUAGUUGGCAGUGUGUAUAUUCAUUACAUUGUAUCAAAGAGAAAUUUUAGCAA